rnacentral:rRNA from 1 species
UACGUAGGGGGCAAGCGUUGUCCGGAAUCAUUGGGCGUAAAGAGCGUGUAGGCGGCUCGAUAAGUCUGCUGUGAAAGUCCAGGGCUCAACCCUGGAAGGCCGGUGGAAACUGUCGGGCUAGAGUCCGGAAGAGGCGAGUGGAAUUCCCGGUGUAGCGGUGAAAUGCGUAGAUACUGGGAGGAACACCAGUGGCGAAGGCGGCUACCUGGACCGGUUCUGACGCUGAGGCGCGAAAGCGUGGGUAGCAAACAGG